UUUUGACUGGCGCUCAGUUUAAAAGUCCAUCACUGGGGACCCGCUCCUGUUGCCAAGCACCCACCUUUGUGAACCCAGCUGAGGAUCUUCCCCUCACAUCAGACUCCAUUUUGGAGCUGCCCCUUGUUCAUGCAGAUGGUCCCACAUCUGAGGAGUUCGAGGAGUCCAACUGAUUGCAGCAUGGUGUCCUGGUGCAAGUCUUAAAUGGUAUCCAGCUGCCAUUCUGAAGAGUCUAGUAGGCCCAUGCUCUUUGAUGUCUACUUUCCAUGGAUUUCCAGAAUGUCUUGGGGGCAAACUGCCCACCAAAGCUGGAGGAGGCCAGAAUUCUGCUUCCCAUGGAGAACACUGACCAGAAACAAUCCUCAGGCACCAAUCUCACCUCACAGCUUCCCUCCGUGCCUCCUCAAGGAAGGAGUCAGUUAGUGGAAGAUUUUGGGGUUAAGUAUGGGAAGUAGUAAAUGGAAGCAUUUAUCUAGAUUAUUUAAGUCAGAAAGUGUUUUUGAAGAAAAUCAAAUCACCUGAA